UACAGAGGGUGCAAGCGUUGUUCGGAAUUCCUGGGCGUAAAGCGCACGUAGGUGGCUUGGCAAGUCGGGUGUGAAAUCCCCGGGCUCAACCUGGGAACUGCAUUCGAGACUGCCUUGCUCGAGUAUGGGAGAGGGAAGUGGAAUUUCCGGUGUAGCGGUGAAAUGCGUAGAUAUCGGAAGGAACAUCAGUGGCGAAGGCGACUUCCUGGACCAAUACUGACACUCAGGUGCGAAAGCGUGGGGAGCAAACAGG
rnacentral:rRNA from 1 species